GAGUUUGAUCCUGGCUCAGGAUGAACGCUGGCGGCGUGCUUAACACAUGCAAGUCGAACGAAACACCUUAUCUGAUUUUCUUCGGAACUGAAGAUUUGGUGAUUGAGUGGCGGACGGGUGAGUAACGCGUGGGUAACCUGCCCUGUACAGGGGGAUAACAGUCAGAAAUGACUGCUAAUACCGCAUAAGACCACGGCACCGCAUGGUGCAGGGGUAAAAACUCCGGUGGUACGGGAUGGACCCGCGUCUGAUUAGCUGGUUGGUGAGGUAACGGCUCACCAAGGCGACGAUCAGUAGCCGGCUUGAGAGAGUGAACGGCCACAUUGGGACUGAGACACGGCCCAAACUCCUACGGGAGGCAGCAGUGGGGAAUAUUGCACAAUGGGGGAAACCCUGAUGCAGCGACGCCGCGUGAGUGAAGAAGUAUCUCGGUAUGUAAAGCUCUAUCAGCAGGGAAGAAAAUGACGGUACCUGACUAAGAAGCCCCGGCUAACUACGUGCCAGCCGCCGCGGUAAUAC
rnacentral:rRNA from 1 species